GACGAACGCUGGCGGCGUGCUUAACACAUGCAAGUCGAACGGAAAGGCCCUGCUUUUGUGGGGUGCUCGAGUGGCGAACGGGUGAGUAACACGUGAGUAACCUGCCCUUGACUUUGGGAUAACUUCAGGAAACUGGGGCUAAUACCGGAUAGGAGCUCCUGCUGCAUGGUGGGGGUUGGAAAGUUUCGGCGGUUGGGGAUGGACUCGCGGCUUAUCAGCUUGUUGGUGGGGUAGUGGCUUACCAAGGCUUUGACGGGUAGCCGGACUGAGAGGGUGACCGGACACAUUGGGACUGAGAUACGGCCCAGGCUCCUACGGGAGGCAGCAGUGGGGAAUAUUGCACAAUGGGCGGAAGCCUGAUGCAGCAACGCCGCGUGCGGGAUGACGGCCUUCGGGUUGUAAACCGCUUUCGCCUGUGACGAAGCGUGAGUGACGGUAAUGGGUAAAGAAGCACCGGCUAACUACGUG
rnacentral:rRNA from 1 species